CUGAAUGCGGAAUCCAAGGCCCAGUAAAUACCUUCUUUAAAAAUUACCUAAGUGACAGAACCCUGCAGACUGUUGUAAACGGAGUGUCCGGUGAGCUCGCGUGCGUGACGUCUGGUGUGCCGACUGGGUCAGUCUAUGGCCCGGUUGGAUACAUCAUGCAUUAGUUUAUGUGACUGCUACAUAAUGAAAGGCAUUAAAAUACGAGUGUGGGUUUAUGAAACGAGUGAAAUGAGUUUCAUAAUAGUAUCACACGAGUGUUUUAAUGCCUAAUUAUGUACAGGCCUUUGAC